rnacentral:rRNA from 1 species
GUGCUGAAGUUAACGCAUUAAGCACUCCGCCUGGGGAGUACGGCCGCAAGGCUGAAACUCAAAGGAAUUGACGGGGGCCCGCACAAGCGGGGGAGCAUGGGGUUUAAUUCGAAGCAACGCGAAAAACCUUACCAGGUCUUGACAUCCUCUGAAAACCCUAGAGAUAGGGCUUCUCCUUCGGGAGCAGAGUGACAGGUGGUGCAUGGUUGUCGUCAGCUCGUGUCGUGAGAUGUUGGGUUAAGUCCCGCAACGAGCGCAACCCUUGAUCUUAUUUGCCAUCAUUAAGUUGGGCACUCUAAGGUGACUGCCGGUGACAAACCGGAGGAAGGUGGGGAUGACGUCAAAUCAUCAUGCCCCUUAUGACCUGGGCUACACACGUGCUACAAUGGACGGUACAAAGAGCUGCAAGACCGCGAGGUGGAGCUAAUCUCAUAAAACCGUUCUCAGUUCGGAUUGUAGGCUGCAACUCGCCUACAUGAAGCUGGAAUCGCUAGUAAUCGCGGAUCAGCAUGCCGCGGUGAAUACGUUCCCGGGCCUUGUACACACCGCCCGUCACACCACGAGAGUUUGUAACACCCGAAGUCGGUGGGGUAACCUUUUUGGAGCCAGCCGCCUAAGGUGGGACAGAUGAUUGGGGUGAAGUCGUACAAAGGGGAAA